GCUUCUUCUUCCUCAGAAGUGCAUCUCUAAGAGCCAGCUGGAAUAUGAAACAAGAGAAGAUUAUUCAGGUUUUUAAGAUUUUCUGGAGAUUUUCUUGCAGAGUAAUGCUGAAGUAGCUUUCUGUUUGCCAUUUGCUGCAGAAUAACAUGCCUAAGGUAUCUUCAUAGAUCUAUAAAUAUCAGAAGGGCAAAAAUGUCACAUAAUUUCCAAGAAAGCAGGCUGGAGUUCCCAAACUCACUUAAUGGCCGGCACUGGAUAUUCCUGAGAAAAGGCCUAGAUGACUUCAGAGAUGGCUUCCCUCCUUCAUGUGAAAAUAUGGUU